rnacentral:misc_RNA from 1 species
ACUUUCGAUUUGAAGUCCACACCACAGAAUGGGGUCGGACGAUUCUUUGCGUCUGUGGAGAUUUUUCCGCUUUGGUAACGACAGAAGUGUAUAUACACCACAUGUUCGAUCAUUGGAGAAUUCAUAUGAGAAACUUAUUAUGAGAGUUAUCCAGCGAGGACAAGGAGGACGGCUCAUAGAUUUUAUAGAGAGAGAAUCUGAUAGAAACAGCAGGUUUUAUCCUUUAGCCUACACUCUUGCUGUCUGCGCCAGGAGUACCAAUCAAGAUGUCUCCCGUAAAGCUUACAUGGCAAUACAAACUGUCUGUAGGACACCAGAAAAAUUAUUCAUGUUUCUCAAGUACUGUAAGGAGUCUCUGAAGCUUAAAUCAUGGCCUAGACGCCACAGGAUGGCUGUAGCUAAGUGGUAUACAACUAAUCCUCAAUAUCUUGAUAACCCCAUGCUUCUUGCAAAACAUGUGACUAAAUAUAGGAGACGCCAUGGGUUUUCACACAAAAAAGUGUUAAAGUGUUGUCAUCCCAAUACCUCUAGAUGUCCUGAUGAUAUCAAAUUCAUAUUAUGUUAUGCUGUUAAAGGUAUUUCAAAAGCUAGACGUUUGCAUCAUGGAGAAGAAGGUAAAAUCAUGUCUGUUGUGGAUUUCAUUAAUGAUGUUGAUACUCUGCGAAAGGGAAAAAUGCCAGAGGAUGAUGUAGUAGCUUUGAUUAAAAAAUGGGAGCUGACAUGGGAACAAAUACCUACUGUUCAUUUGCAAUCAGCACAAAUAUGGAAGGCAUUGCUUAAAAUAAUGCCAAUGACAGCAUUGUUGAGAAAUUUGGGAAAACUAACCAUGCAUAGAUUACUUGAACCUGGUAGUCAAGAAGAAACCAAAACAUGCUCAAGACUUAAUAAUGCAGAACUCCUUAAAAAUGCCAAACUUCACCCUAUCCAAAUCCUUUCAUCUUUGAAUGGUUACAGAAGGGGGGAAGGAUCUAGAAGUGACUGGAAUGUUAACCAAAAUAUUGUCCAUUCCCUUUGAUGAAUUGCAAGCAGACUGCUACUGCUUUGGCAAUGACCCUGAAACAAAGUCAGCCAUCUACCCAUACUGUUACCUUUGGAAGUGGGGACAUUGCAAGAAGGCUUGAUUUUCAGCUAUCUGAUGCUGGCAUAUAUGACAUAGAGAGUGCUUUAGAUGCUGUGGAACAGAGAACAGAUGAUAAACCUGUUAAUUUUGAUGCACCAUUGCAAUAUGCCAUGCAGAAUAUGAAUGCAGUAAAUGCUGUCAUUCUAAUGACUGACCGUCUCACUGAACAAGACAGAAGUGAUAUCCAAAGAGCUUACAGGAGUUUUAAAGAACAUUUCCUAGAUGUUUCAUUUAUCACUGUGUGCUUUCAGAACUGUGAAGAAACAUCUCCUGUUGCUGAACCACAAGACCCCAACAUGUUGGAUGUAAUAGGAGUGGAUGCAGGGGCAUUAAAUAUCAUUCUUUCCUUUAUCGCGAACAGAGAUCAACAAAUACGAGGACUGCUGGAAGAACUUUCAAUUGAUGGAAGAAUGGAGGAGGAUAUGGAACAGGCUUAGAAGACAUGUCUGGAACAUUGUUAAAACAGUUUCUACAUCAUUAAGAAUCCAUGGAAAGGAAUCUCAGUGGAGGGUGCUGUUGUUGAUGCUUUUUAUUAACAUUUACCAUAAUUCUCACUGAUCUAUGAUGUAGCUUUUAUUUGCAAGAAGUUUUCUCCACACACAAAAUUUAGUAACAAAAUUAUUUCACAAAUAAAUGUCCAUACACCAAAAGUUAAUUACUAUGUUCUGGAUGAUCUUAAUAAAUCUUGUUUAUUUC